rnacentral:rRNA from 1 species
UUUGAUAGCGACCGGCGCACGGGUGAGUAACACGUAUCCAACCUGCCGAUGACUCGGGGAUAGCCUUUCGAAAGAAAGAUUAAUACCCGAUGGCAUAGUUCUUCCGCAUGGUGGAACUAUUAAAGAAUUUCGGUCAUCGAUGGGGAUGCGUUCCAUUAGGUUGUUGGCGGGGUAACGGCCCACCAAGCCUUCGAUGGAUAGGGGUUCUGAGAGGAAGGUCCCCCACAUUGGAACUGAGACACGGUCCAAACUCCUACGGGAGGCAGCAUG